GAGUUUGAUCUUGGCUCAGGACGAACGCUGGCGGCGCGCCUAACACAUGCAAGUCGAACGGAGUUAUUCUGAAUGAAGUUUUCGGAUGGAUUUUGGAUUAACUUAGUGGCGAACGGGUGAGUAACGCGUGAGUAACCUGCCCUGGAGUGGGGGACAACAGUUGGAAACGACUGCUAAUACCGCAUAAGCCCACGGUGCCGCAUGGCACAGCGGGAAAAGGAUUUAUUCGCUUCAGGAUGGACUCGCGUCCAAUUAGCUAGUUGGUGAGGUAACGGCCCACCAAGGCGACGAUUGGUAGCCGGACUGAGAGGUUGAACGGCCACAUUGGGACUGAGACACGGCCCAGACUCCUACGGGAGGCAGCAGUGAGGGAUAUUGGGCAAUGGGGGAAACCCUGACCCAGCGACGCCGCGUGAGGGAAGACGGUCUUCGGAUUGUAAACCUCUGUCUUUGGGGACGAAAAAGGACGGUACCCAAGGAGGAAGCUCCGGCUAACUACGUGCCAGCCGCCGCUGUAAU
rnacentral:rRNA from 1 species